rnacentral:rRNA from 1 species
AGCGAACGCUGGCGGCAGGCCUAAUACAUGCAAGUCGAACGCACCUUCGGGUGAGUGGCGGACGGGUGAGUAACACGUGGGAACGUGCCCUUUGGUUCGGAAUAAUCCGGGGAAACCUGGCCUAAUACCGGAUGUGCCCUUCGGGGAAGGAUUUAUCGCCAUUGGAGCGGCCCGCCGUCUGAUUAGCUAGUUGGUGAGGUAACGGCCCACCAAGGCGACGAUCAGUAGCUGGUCUGAGAGGAUGAUCAGCCACACUGGGACUGAGACACGGCCCAGACUCCUACGGGAGGCAGCAGUAGGGAAUNUUGCGCAAUGGGCGAAAGCCUGACGCAGCCAUGCCGCGUG